AAAUUGAAGAGUUUGAUCAUGGCUCAGAUUGAACGCUGGCGGCAGGCCUAACACAUGCAAGUCGAGCGGAAACGAGUUAACUGAACCUUCGGGGGACGUUAACGGCGUCGAGCGGCGGACGGGUGAGUAAUGCCUAGGAAAUUGCCCUGAUGUGGGGGAUAACCAUUGGAAACGAUGGCUAAUACCGCAUAAUGCCUUCGGGCCAAAGAGGGGGACCUUCGGGCCUCUCGCGUCAGGAUAUGCCUAGGUGGGAUUAGCUAGUUGGUGAGGUAAGGGCUCACCAAGGCGACGAUCCCUAGCUGGUCUGAGAGGAUGAUCAGCCACACUGGAACUGAGACACGGUCCAGACUCCUACGGGAGGCAGCAGUGGGGAAUAUUGCACAAUGGGCGCAAGCCUGAUGCAGCCAUGCCGCGUGUAUGAAGAAGGCCUUCGGGUUGUAAAGUACUUUCAGCAGUGAGGAAGGUGGUGUAGUUAAUAACUGCAUCACUUGACGUUAGCUGCAGAAGAAGCACCGGCUAACUCCGUGCCAGCAGCCGCGGUAAUACGGAGGGUGCGAGCGUUAAUCGGAAUUACUGGGCGUAAAGCGCAUGCAGGUGGUCUGUUAAGUCAGAUGUGAAAGCCCGGGGCUCAACCUCGGAAUUGCAUUUGAAACUGGCAGACUAGAGUACUGUAGAGGGGGGUAGAAUUUCAGGUGUAGCGGUGAAAUGCGUAGAGAUCUGAAGGAAUACCGGUGGCGAAGGCGGCCCCCUGGACAGAUACUGACACUCAGAUGCGAAAGCGUGGGGAGCAAACAGGAUUAGAUACCCUGGUAGUCCACGCCGUAAACGAUGUCUACUUGGAGGUUGUGGCCUUGAGCCGUGGCUUUGGAGAGCUAACGCGUUAAGUAGACCGCCUGGGGAGUACGGUCGCAAGAUUAAAACUCAAAUGAAUUGACGGGGGCCCGCACAAGCGGUGGAGCAUGUGGUUUAAUUCGAUGCAACGCGAAGAACCUUACCUACUCUUGACAUCCAGAGAAGCCAGUAGAGAUACAGGUGUGCCUUCGGGAACUCUGAGACAGGUGCUGCAUGGCUGUCGUCAGCUCGUGUUGUGAAAUGUUGGGUUAAGUCCCGCAACGAGCGCAACCCUUAUCCUUGUUUGCCAGCGAGUAAUGUCGGGAACUCCAGGGAGACUGCCGGUGAUAAACCGGAGGAAGGUGGGGACGACGUCAAGUCAUCAUGGCCCUUACGAGUAGGGCUACACACGUGCUACAAUGGCGCAUACAGAGGGCAGCAAGCUAGCGAUAGUGAGCGAAUCCCAAAAAGUGCGUCGUAGUCCGGAUUGGAGUCUGCAACUCGACUCCAUGAAGUCGGAAUCGCUAGUAAUCGUGGAUCAGAAUGCCACGGUGAAUACGUUCCCGGGCCUUGUACACACCGCCCGUCACACCAUGGGAGUGGGCUGCAAAAGAAGUAGGUAGUUUAACCUUCGGGAGAACGCUUACCACUUUGUGGUUCAUGACUGGGGUGAAGUCGUAACAAGGUAGCCCUAGGGGAACCUGGGGCUGGAUCACCUCCUUA
rnacentral:rRNA from 1 species